UAUUAUGAAUUUCUUCGUAAGUAAUUCCCACAUACAAUUGUAGGCUUAGAACUGGUUUUUGCAAAAUAAUUGUUCGAAUACAAUUUGUACAAUUUAUGGAGAAUUAUUUGACUGAGUCAUCAAUUCUACUAACUGUCGCUGGGUGCAUUGUGAUCUUUGUCGUAAUAUUGGGUUGUUUUUCAGGAAAAAAGGCGCUUCUGUUUUCAAUCAUACUCCUUGUGAUUUUUGCGCUUAAAAUUCCCGCUAUAGUAUUGACUUUCUAUAAAGGAGCUGAAUUAGAAAACGGUUUAGAUGAACGAUUCAACGAAACGCUGAGAAAAUCUGAAAGCAACAAAGAAAUUAUAAGUGUUGCGGUAUUUAUUUGCCAAAUGAUUGGAAUGACUGUGGUUUAAUUAUACCAGCUGCUUGUUGUGACAGGCCGAUGGCGGAUAAAUACUAUAAAGGUUCAGCAUACACGAGUGGUUGUUUGCGUACUUUCAAAGAAAAGGUCAGCGGAUAUGUUGCAUGGACUGAGGGAUUAACAAUUGUUUAUGUCGUGAUACAACUUAUGUUUGGUGUAUUGUUCUUGUACCUUUUUUCUUGGACUUUGGACGAUCAGGCUACUUUGAUCUUUGAUGCCUAAAAAAGAACUUUCACUAUUAACGGGUGAUGCGUCAUAUAUUGUUGUUAGCGAUGAAUCUGAAUGAUAUUUGUGAAUAAUUUUACCAAAAUAAAAACAAAAAUUGAAUUUCUGGAAUU